UACGGAGGGGGCUAGCGUUAAUCGGAAUUACUGGGCGUAAAGCGAGCGUAGUCGGUUAUUUAAGUCGGAUGUGAAAUCCCCGGGCUCAACCUGGGAAUUGCAUUCGAUACUGGAUAGCUAGAGUUCGGCAGAGGGAAGCGGAAUUUCUGGUGUAGCGGUGAAAUGCGUAGAUAUCAGAAGGAACAUCAGUGGCGAAAGCGGCUUCCUGGACCAGAACUGACGAUCAGGCUCGAAAGCGUGGGGAGCAAACAGG
rnacentral:rRNA from 1 species